rnacentral:rRNA from 1 species
CCUACGGGUGGCAGCAGUGAGGAAUAUUGGUCAAUGGCCGAGAGGCUGAACCAGCCAAGUAGCGUGAGGGAUGACGGCCCUACGGGUUGUAAACCUCUUUUGUAGGGGAGUAAAGCGAUUCACGUGUGACACAUUGAGUGUACCCGAUGAAAAAGCAUCGGCUAACUCCGUGCCAGCAGCCGCGGUAAUACGGAGGAUGCGAGCGUUAUCCGGAUUUCUUGGGUUUAAAGGGUGCGUAGGCGGAGGGUGAAGUCAGUCGUGAAAUUUGGGGGCUUAACCGCCUUACUGCAGUUGAAACUGCAUGCCUUGAGUGCGCGAGAGGUAUGCGGAAUGCGUGGUGUAGCGGUGAAAUGCAUAGAUAUCACGCAGAACUCCGAUUGCGAAGGCAGCAUACCGGCGCGCAACUGACGCUCAUGCACGAAAGCGUGGGUAUCGAACAGGAUUAGAUACCCCAGUAGUC